rnacentral:rRNA from 1 species
UACGUAGGGGGCUAGCGUUGUCCGGAAUCAUUGGGCGUAAAGCGCGCGUAGGCGGCCAGAUAAGUCCGGUGUGAAAGUCACAGGCUCAACCUGUGAAUGCCGCUGGAAACUGUCUGGCUUGAGUCCGGAAGGGGCGAGUGGAAUUCCUGGUGUAGCGGUGAAAUGCGCAGAUAUCAGGAGGAACACCGAUAGCGAAGGCAGCUCGCUGGGACGGUACUGACGCUAAGGCGCGAAAGCGUGGGGAGCGAACAGG